AGCGAACGCUGGCGGCAGGCCUAACACAUGCAAGUCGAACGAACUCUUCGGAGUUAGUGGCGGACGGGUGUGUAACACGUGGGAACGUGCCUUUUGGUUCGGAAUAACUCAGGGAAACUUGUUCUAAUACCGAAUGUGCCCUUCGGGGGAAAGAUUUAUCGCCAUUAGAGCGGCCCGCGUCUGAUUAGCUAGUUGGUGAGGUAACGGCUCACCAAGGCGACGAUCAGUAGCUGGUCUGAGAGGAUGACCAGCCACACUGGGACUGAGACACGGCCCAGACUCCUACGGGAGGCAGCAGUGGGGAAUCUUGCGCAAGGGGCGAAAGUCUGACGCAGCCAUGCCGCGUGAAUGAUGAAGGUCGUAGGAUUGUAAAAUUCUUUCACCGGGGACGAUAAUGACGGUACCCGGAGAAGAAGCCCCGGCUAACUUCGUG
rnacentral:rRNA from 1 species